AAUACAUAGUUUUAGCAAUCCAGAGUUUACAUACAGCCUGGUGUAAAACCCUACUUUGGAAAAGGGACAUUAGUCUAAGUUACCGGGAUCUUCCUCCUCUGGUGGGGCAUCAGGCGUGGACUCCAAAAUAUUUUGAGAAUUCAUUACCAAGCCAGACUCCAACAAGGUACCACUUGGUUGGUGACCGAGGACACUAUCCAUGAUGGCAAACCAUCUUCUUCUAAGACAGAUAGACCACGAAGAUUGGCAUUUUCCUAUUCGCUAUAACGGGGAUCCUUUUUCCUGCAAACAAUGCCUGCAGUGCCGCGGUCGGCCUUGAACUUCAAUGAAAGGGGGGAGUCCUUCUCCCCUGUUUAAAGCAGUGUACGGAAGGGGUGGGGCUUUGUCUGAGAGUUUCCUUUUGCAAGGGUGGAGACUACUUCCUCUUUGGCACAACACAACUCUCAAUUGUUAACACGUUUGGACCCAGAAGUAAAUAAGGAAGCUGACUAAAUUUCACAAUAAUUUGAUUCUGGGAAACCUGAGAUCACCAAAAGGUGCAAGUUGCUCCAAAACAAUCCUCACCCAAGUGCAUACAGGCACAUUAAACAACAAAGGGAACUGUUAACCAUGAAUACACAUAAAUAAACCGAAUUGUAAAUGUUAAACAUGAUUGCCUACAUAACAAAUGAUAUAGAGAACUUUAUUACGACAAGGUUGUUGGCAUUGCACCUUAACAGCACACUGGUCAGAAAUAGCCGGCGGUUGUUUGUUUGUUUGUGUGAGUGCUUUUAUCUGAUCUGGUGCUUUUCCAGACAAAUCAUUAUCCAGUUGGACACCUGAUGAACUUCCACAAACUUCAGGGUCUGGGGUGAGAACUUCAGCUUCUAGGCUGUUGGAGUUGACUGUUUCCUCUGAAGAUUAUGAGGAAUCUGGAUGCCACUGGUCGUCUUAGGAGGUUCAGGCAUUGUUAACUCUGGGCAGCUGGUAGUGUCCAGAAGCAGCUUCUCUCCUAUAAAAACGAGCAUGUCUAUGCCAAAUUGGGUUCAGAGCUCGCCGCCAUAGGAUUUACCAGGAUGUUGAAGCAAUGCAGAGAAACUAAAAAAGCUGAAACAGGAAUACAAAAAAACCAAGGAUGACAAUAACAAGAGUGGUUACAACCAUCGUGGAGAAAGAUGGAUUGCCAUUGUUGAUUGUGACCUCUGUCACCAACCAAGUACUUAGGAGAUUGGGGUGAUAAAUUCAGAUGCAAAGCUUUUGUAGUCUACUCAAUCUGAUUCCCCGCUAGAAAUUGAGAAUUCUGACCGAUCUUCAUCCAGUUGGACACCUGAUGAGGUCCUUGGUCACCAACCAGGUUCUUCAGGGUCUGAGAUGAUAAAUUCAGCUACUGUGCUGCUGGAGCCGACUCAACCGGAUUCCCCUGUAAAACAGGAACCUUAUGGGUUGUGCAGACUCCGGACAACAGAGCUUUGGAGGAAUACGCAGAUUUAAUACGCAGAGUCCUCACUCACCUCACUCAAAAUCCAUUUGGUAACAGAAUACGCAAUAUACACAAGAAGAGUAAUGAUGAUGAGUUGGAGGCCACAGUCUAACUUUGUGGAGUUGGUCCAAACUCUGCUGGAAGACCCUUCUGAGAGGGAGCACUUCUUCAGGAGGUGUUCCCAGUACAUUACGGCCCUCGGUAUGACACAGCACUGCAGGUACUGGUGUGGGAGUUCCUCUCCAGAUGGGAGGAGCUGCUACCUGUACCAGACUUCACACAGGUACAGAUUGAAACAUCAGUGCCCAUCAAGUUUAAGUAUUGAGGCACCUCCCAAGUGGCGCAGUGCUAGCUGUGCCACUAGAGAUCCUGGUUCAAGUCCAGGCUCUGUCGCAGCCGGCCAUGACCGGGAGACCCAUGGGGCGGCGCACAAUUGGCCCAGCGUCGUCCGGGUUAGGGGAGGGUUUGGCCAGCAGGGAUGUUCUUGUCCCAUCACGCUCUAGCGACUCCAAUGCACGCUGACACAAUCGCCAGGUGUACGGUGUUUCCUCCGACACAUUGGUGCGCCUGGCUUCCUUCACCUCUCCCGAGUCAAUACGGGAGUUGCAGCGAUGGGACAAGACUGACUACCAAUUGGAUACCACGAAAUUGGGGAGAAAAAAGAGGGGGAAAAAAAUAUUUAAAAAGUAUUGAGUGCUGAUCACUGUUUAAAUUCUUUUUGGGACUGAGGACUAUGGUGAGCUGAAGGAAAACAUCUACCCAAUGCGCAAGGCUCUGGCAUGUAGAGAAGGAACAAUACCAAUGAUACACAGUGUUGAAUUCAAUGUCAAAUCUAAAGCAUUGAAAAACACUGAAAUGUAAUCGAUUACAAAUUUAUGCAGCACCACCAGCAUCAUGGAAACCUGAAAAAGAGUUAUUUCUCUUACUACACUGCAGAUACCAUCCUGUCCCUCCCUCCAACAAUAAGAGUUGUCAUUAGCUCGGAGCGGGCCAGCUCUGACAAAAUGAGGUCAUGCUCAGAUGGAGAUAAAUGCUUCAAAAAUGGGACAGAGAGAGCAGGAGAUGGAGAAAAGAGAGAAGGACAAUCUAAUGGGGUCAUAGAGGAGGAAAAAGAUAGGGAGACUGAAGAGGACUGGGAAAAGGAAGAAUGCAGAGAAUUCUGGUCCGUGUAUCCCAGUACCCAGCAACGGCAAGGAAAUUCAAGUUUGAAUAGUGACAUGGCAUCCCAGGUCCUUGCCUGCUCCCUCUGCACAUUCCCUCAUAUUAUGGCAAAACUCCACCAGCACAUCAGGAUUAGGUAUGGAGGUGAGGACAGGAAGCUUCUACACUCUAAAGAAUCUAGGACUGAAAGCACCUUUCCUCAAGCAGCACAAAACUCCCCCAGCACUAGGCAUCAAAGGAAGAACUGGAAGCGUCUCAACUCUAAAGAACCUGGGAAUGAUAAUUCCCGUCCCACACGCAGCACAAAACUACUUCACCAGCACAUCAGCACUAGGCACCAAGGGGAUGAACGGAAGUCUCAACACUCUGAAGAAUCUAGGACGGAAAACUUUCCCUCAAGCACAAAAAUGAUCCCCUAUAGACCCGAUAACAUGACUCUAAGUUGCCCUCAUUGUGGGAAUGUUUACCAAAACCUCAACUCGUAUGGAAAAACAUAAGAAUUCACACAUUUCCAUUCUGUUGUAACCAGUGUGAGAGAAGAUUCGACCAGAAUAGAUCUCAAAAUACAUCAGCGAGCUCACACAGUGGAAAGACCAUUCAAAUGCUCUCACUGUGAUAUGUGCAUAUUCACUCAAAAUGCAUGUACACACACACACUGUGGAGAGUCCCUACUCUUGCACCAUUUGUGGUAAGACAUCUGUCAAAUCUAGCUAGACACAUGCGGCUGCAUUCAGGGGAGAAAAACAAGUUGUGUAGCAUCUGUGGUAAGGCAUUCCUUAGCUCAGGAGAACUAAUGCUGCACACAUGAUCACACACACAGGAGAAUGCCCCUACACCUGUGAACGUUGUGGAAGGGGUUUCAAAGCAGCAUGCCAUGUUCAGAUUCCUGUACAACGAUUUCACACAGGCGAGUGUCCAUACCCCUGCACCCUGUGCACAAAACAUUGUCAUUCUCAGGGAACAUAAAAGACAUGUUAAUUCACACUGGUGAGAAACCUCACCAGUGGUCCAAGUGUGGGAAGAGAUUUUCUUUAAAGGAAACUCUGAAAACGCAUCUUAAAAGGCAUGGAUUUUAAGACAUUCCAGGCAGAUCAUAUUAGUUAUGCAUAAAGUCUGGUAGACAGUAUUGCUUCUUUCCCCCCCCAGGUCUGGCGUUAUGGGCCGGCCUUAGGGGCCUGGCCCGGUCUACCGUAACCUUUCCCGUACAAAUAAAAUACAGAAAUAUUAAUAAUGUAUUUUACCGAGACGCGCACCGACAGAAAGACUCAAUGUUCAGGCACCCAAGCUUGCGAAACGGUGCCCCUCUGUCUCAGUACGUGUAGACCAUGCAUCUGGUGCUGUCUGCACCAAAGGAGUAUUGCAUGUCAUACUAUUUCUGGCCAGACAGCUUCAGAUACAUGGGCUACAUAUAGAGGGGCACUGUUUUGCUCACUUGGAUGCUUGCUCCAGUGAUUUAGUUUCAGCAGAGAGGAAAAUGCGAAGUGAGAGGGCUCACUCGCCAAAAUCUGUCCAGAAUAAGAGACAAUUUAUGCUUGAUCCCAAAAUGUGGUCAGCGGCGCCGUAUGGAUGGUGUGACGCAAUUGGGGAGCCUUCUGAGGCACGCAGAGACCAAAUGGACCUCUACUGCACCCUGUGCGCCUUUAAAAGUUUGUAACAAUGCACAGAGCUCCCUAUAGGUCCGCAUUGACAUGAUUGGUUGACAGUAGGUGAGGGCGGGAGGUCCUGUAUAAACACCAACUUCAUUCACAACAUCCUUCGCAAGAAGUAUGAUGCCCUGACUUGCAGACUCGGAUUGACCAUGCAGCGCCUUUUAGCCCAAUGCGUUUCUAUGGGCAUAAUAUGCAGACUUAAUCUUAUCGACUGCCUUCCAGCUUUUGGGACGAAGACUCCCAUUGUUAUGGUGAAGACAUGAGAAUCUCGUCAUUAUAUACAGAUCUCUGGUUUUAUCCUCUUGUGAAUUGGAAAGGAAGGUUGGCACUAAUAAAGGCGCAGCAUGGUCAAUCCGACAUCUGCAUUGGCCAUGCAGCGGCCUCUGCAGAAGUCAGUGCAUUCAUACUUUAGGUGCUUUACGGGGCAGUGCAGAGCUGUUGAGCAGAGCCGUUUUGAAAGGAGUGAGUUUGUGUUUAUACAGGACCUCCCGUCCUCACCCAAUCAUGUCAAUGCGGAGCUAUAUGGAGACCUUCGCAUUGUUACAACAUUUGGGAGGCGCACAGGGAUGCGGUAGGGAGCUCAAGUUGGCCUCUGCAUGUCUCCAGAGGCUCCGCAACUGCGUCACACCCUCCAUAAGGAGCCUCCAACCACAUUUUCAGAUCAAGCAAAAAUUGGCUUUUAGGAUGCUAAUUAAAUUUGUUGUGCCAAAAUGAUAUUACUCCUGUCUAAAUAAAAUCAUUCAAAAUACUUCACUAGUGAGCAUGACUUAGCCAUAGAGGAUCAUUAUAGCUGUGGAUUGUUUCAAAUCACAAGUGUGUAGGCCUAUGCCUACACUUUAUGAAAUAGAUUGCAGUCAGAGUGCAGUAUAACUGCGGUACACUGCAAUUAGAGUGCAGUUCACUGCAGUUAUUCUGCAAUUACAGCGUCCAAAACAACUGUCGACAGCAGUUACUGCACUUUUACUGCAGUUUCAAAAGUGCAAUCUUUUUUUGUAAGGGUGAAAAUGUUUAAUGUACAAACCGGGAGCCAGGGGGCACAAGUGUAUUACCGGCUGGCCACAUCAAGCCCAGAUGAUAGUGGAGAUCCUUAGCGCCAACUAGCGGCUGCCCAGGCUAGGUAGAGUACCCGGUGGUAGCCGACUAGUGACAGUGCCUAAGGUUCAGGGAAGGGUCCUGUGCAGAGGCUGGCUAGUCAUGACUGUUUUAACAGUCUGAUGGCCUGGAGAUUGAUAAACGUCUGUCUCUUUGUCACAGCUUUGAUGCACCUAUAGUGUCUCCACCUUCUAGCUGGCUGAGAUCCCUGAUAAUCUUAUUGGCCUACCUGUGACACUGGGUGCUAUAGAUGUCCUGGAGAGCAGGUGUGCCCCCAAUGAUGCGUUGGGCUGACCGCACCACCUUCUGGAGAGCCCUGCAGUUGCGGGCGAUGGUGUUGCAGUCUGACAGAAUGCUCUCUGGUGCAACUGUAGAAGUUUGAGGGUCUUAGGGGAAAAGACGAAUUUCUUCAGCCUCCUGUGGUCGAAGAGGCGCUGUUGCACCUUCACCACACGGUUGGUGUGGAGGGACCAUUUCAGGUCCUCAGCGAAGUGCACACCGAGGAUCUUGAAGCUUUUGACCCUCUCCGCUGCGGCCCCUUCAAUGUGGAUGGGGGUGUGCUCGCUCUGCGGUCUCCUGUAGUCCACGAUCAGGUCCUGGCACCACUCGGCCAGUGUUCUCACCUUCUCCCUGUAGGCUGUCUCUGUUGGUAAUCAGGCCUACCAUUGUUGUUGUCAGCAAACCUGAUUGAGUUGUAGACGAGCGUGGGCUAAGCAAACACCCCUGUGGGGCCCCCACAGAAACGUACUUUCAGACACACAUGGUGGUGUAGUUGCCUACCUUCACCACCUGCGGUCGGCCCAUCAGCAAGUCUAAGACCCAGUUGCACAGGGAGGGGUUCAGACCCAAGGCCCUGAGCGUACUGAUGAGCUUGGAGGGCACUAUGGUGUUGAAGGCUGAGCUGUAGUCAAUGAACCAGGUGGGAUAGGGCAGAAUGCAGUGCAAUGGCGAUUGUUUUGUCUGUGGAUCUGUUGGGGCGGUGUGCAAAUUGUAGUGGGUCUAGGCUGUCGGCUAAGGUGGAGGUGAUAUGAUUCUUAACGAGCCUCUCAAAGCACUUCAUGAUGACAGAAAUGAGUGGUACAGGGAGAUAGUCAUUUAGGUUAGUUACCUUCACUUUCUUGGGUAUGGGAACAAGGGUGAACACCUUUUAAGCAAGUAGGGACAACAUAUCGGGAUAGGGAGAGAUUGAAUAUGUCUGUAAACACUCCAGCCAGCUGGUCUGCACAUGCUCAGAGGACGUAUUUAGAAUUGUCAAGACUUCAGCCACCCAAUUCCGUUCUCUCUACUGCACGGUAAUUGGUACCGAUGCGCCAAGUCUGUAACCAACAGGGCCCUGAACAGCUUCUACCCCCAAGCCAUAAGACUGCUAAGUAGUUAUCCAAAUACAUGACCAAAAGUAUGUGGACACCUGCUUGUUGAACAUCU